rnacentral:rRNA from 1 species
CCUACGGGAGGCAGCAGUAGGGAAUAUUGCACAAUGGAGGAAACUCUGAUGCAGCGACGCCGCGUGAGUGAUGAAGGCCUUCGGGUCGUAAAGCUCUGUCGCAAGGGAAUAACACAAUGAAUGUACCUUGCAAGAAAGGAUCGGCUAACUACGU